rnacentral:lncRNA from 1 species
AGUGUGGUGUGACAUGGACUCCAGUGGCGGAGGUUGGCUGGUGUUCCAGAGACGUCGUGACGGGUCAGUGGACUUCUACAGGAACUGGACUCAGUAUGAAGACGGCUUUGGUGACGUCAGCGGGGAGUUCUGGCUGGGUUUAUCAAGGCUUCACACCCUGACCAAAGGGAGACCCACCCGACUGCGUGUAGACCUCGGCGAUGUGGAUGGACAUCGUCACUACGCUGAGUACUCGACAUUCAGUGUGGACGGUCCUGAGACAAACUACACACUGACCGUGUCCGGCUACUCGGGUGACGCGGGAGACAGCAUGAGUCGUCACAACAACCAGAGGUUUUCAACGUUGACAGAGACAACGACAAGGACUCUGUCAACUGUGCCGUUGAUCGUCACGGCGCCUGGUGGUACAUAGACUGUCACGACUCUAACCUCAACGGCCGAUACAAGCCGACGAGGACCGAUAUGUGGGACGGCAUCAACUGGUAUCACACCCACAGUGACUACACGAGCUUCACCUUCAGCGAGAUGAAAGUACAACCAGUGUAACACCGCCUUGUCUCCUGUAUAAAAAGAUUUGUCAUUUCUCUCUCUCUCUCCCCUUUUUUUCGCACUUCGUAAUGAAUCACAUAUUUGUAUCUCAAUUCCGACAUCUCUAUCUUUAUCUCUCUGUCUUUCUCUUCUACAGAUGUCUACACUUUCUACACUAUUUUCUUCUCAACUAAUAUUAGGUUUCCUCAAACUCAUCACUCCCAAGCUAACAAUCGACUAAUUGAAGACGAGCCUGAAAUAUUCAGGUAGCAUCCUAUGGAACAGUUUCAUUCACACCUCUAACAAAUAGAAUCCAGUCUCCACCAGUUGCAAACACGACUUGUAUGAGUCUGUUCAAAGUGUGGGUCUGUUUCUGAGUCAGAGCUCGUUUGAGGGUAGAGUGAGGGUGCUCCUGCUACGUGAAUGAGCAGCUACGUGAUGACGAUCGUUAGCCCUAAAUGAACCUGUUUCUGUACACAACCGAGUUUGAUGGUUGUUGUCAUGCACAAGACCGUCUACUAGUAUGGGGUACGUGACAUGACGCAGAAAACAGCACCUUCCCGGGUAGAUGGUGUGAACUUGGUAUCAUGGUUACACGUGACUCAAUAAAUUCUGUGGGUUUGUACGGGGCAUCUGUUAAUCGGAUUCUGUUGAAAAGUGGUUUCAGUAUUAGUUAUAAAUCAUGGCCGACAUCGUAAUUCAGAUAACUAACUGUCCGUGUUGUCUCCCACUGAGGGUACAAGUGCGGUGACCGUUGCUGGGUCACACUACCUACACGUCACUCUGUUAAAGCAGUCUCUUGUUUCUUCGUUGGUGUCUUGGUUGCCAUGUGACGUGUGUUUGAUGCUCAUAAUCUCUCAUAAGUUGUUGUGUGGGAAAAUAUGUCCUCAGAAAUACAAAACACACGGAAACAGACACAGAAAAUGGUGAGCGAUCAGUUCCACACAACUUUAAUUGUUUAUACACGAGGACCAAACCACGUGACUGGUAUACUUUGUGUGUGUUUCCGUGUGCACAAAUGGCGCUGAUCACAGUCAAGGGUUACUACAAUACCAGGAACCCUGGGGUUAGCUGGACGAUAAGAUUUCCGAGAGACUGGCCGCCCUCCGCCCCAGCCCCCCGCAUAUGUCUCGUGCUUAGCUUCAAGAGACCUGCUGACGUCACUAAGAAAUACCAUGAGGAGAAAGACGACAAUGAAUGAGGUUCAGUUAAAGAAAAUCAUCUUUUGUGUUUUGAUGAGCAGGGUUAGAUACUUUGAGAGAAAAUAGAGGGGGCACACUGCUAAUGCUGUCGUCGUCUUGUCACAUGUUUCUUGUCUUUUUGCUUGUUGUGUCUUCACAACAUCAGCAGAAGCCUUGACCCCUGAGACCGCGAGUUGAGGCCAAUGGUGAGGUUUGUACACCCCCAUCAAGACCGGUGUGACGGCUCGUGUGUUGUAGCAGGCCCUCGCAUCCUCCUGUCCUCCCCUCAGUGUUUGGACACACUGACCAACAAGUCCGGAUGGCAGAGGCGGUGUUUAUUCAACAGACUCAGUGUCUUCAUUAGAUGUGUCAGCGACUAAACACAACAUUCUAUGCGAUGAAUUGUUUGCACAACAUUAUAUUUAGUGUCAACUUGUGAAGUGUUUACUUAUAUGAUAUUUUCAAUAUUGUGUGGUUAAUAUAAUGUCAAUGUGUGUGCUCGCACAGUCAUAACUAGUUUUGUCUUGGACCAGUGGGUCUCAUUAAUAAAUAACAACAUGUAUUAAUGUUUGUGUGUGAGAUAGAGUUCUGUAGCUGCUCUAUGUAAAGUUGUGGUAUUGUGUAAUUAUAACAACACACACACACACUCUCUCUCGCCCCCAGCGGAUACAGUGGUUGGCAAACUUGAUCUUCUAACUUUCCGCAUAUCCGUUUUUCUUUUACAAAAAUCAUCUACCUACUGCGGGCGAUGAUAUGAUUUCUCUGUUAUGAAAAUGACUGUAUUGUGUCUGUGCGUGCGUGUCUAAAUUUAAAGAGGACGACUGUGUAGUUUUUUUUU